AUUAAUAAAAAUUGUUAAAUAAACUCCUAUAAUCAAUUAGUAAUAGGUUGUUUGUCUGACGUGUCAAAUAUGUGACAGGUGUCAAUUCCAAAUGGUUAUAGGAACUAAAAAUUCUCUCUAUACGAAAAAAAAGCCCUUCUCUUUUUUCUUUUUUUUUCGUCCUUUUCUUCUCCUUUCUCUUCGCUAGUCACCAUCAUUUCCAUCACCAUCAUUAUCGAGCUUCACCUUUACAACUAUCACUACGGCACCAUCAUAGUCGAACCAACUUCUCUUUUCUUCUUCUUCUCUUUUUCUUCCCCCAUCGCGCCAUCUCAAAAACCACCAUCUUCAUCCUCUAUUUUGCCACCAACAGUCACCACCAUCGUAGUUCCCUCUUCCUCCUCCUCUUCUUCUCCUUCUCGUCCUUACCCAACCUCCCUCAAUAGCUCACCCCAAAUCUUUUCGGCACCACCAAGGUCCUCAUCAUCCUUCGCGUUGCCGGAGUUAUUUGUCCGUGCCUCAUCCUUCACAAGCGUUACAAGAGUUCCCAUGUGGCAUCUGGAGAGGCAUUCAAGCUCGUCGGUGAGAUGAAGAUGAGGAUGAGAAAAGGGGCCCACGGAUGCAUGAGUUUCUUGGCACAAAAAGUCUUCCAAAGCCCGUGACCGACCGCAUCUGAUCCAACUCACCCAUGUACGGACAAAAUAUUUAGCGCUGUACUUUUCUUUCAUUAGAUUAACAUUUUGGGUAUCCAUUUUAUUUGACCAACUUAGGUUGAUAUCAGCGAGAAUAAAUUUGUAUUGCUAGUUUUGGAUUUAAGUACUUAGGAGACUCGCUAUUUGUUAUAGUCAGAUAGGAGCAAAUAUAAACGGUAUAACAACUUAACAAGAUAGGAGAUAAAAGAAUAAAAUUAGAGAGACUAAACUAUAAAUAUAGAGAACUUUUAUAUGUAAAAUUUAUCAAUUUAGGAAGGUCAUUGCUCUCUUUAUAUACACUAAGAGUCUAAAACUCUGCUCCUGGAUGUAUGAGUGAGAUCAAAUUUGGA